rnacentral:lncRNA from 1 species
AAAUAUUCGACCUGACCCGACUCACCCAAACUACUACUAUAAUAAUAGUAUCGAUAAGAUCCACCCACCCACUCCAUAACCUACAAUCUAACCAAAACCCACCCUUUUUUCUUCCUCAGUGGGUUGAGACUCAAUUCAAUAGAGGAAAAUCCAUCUACCAAAACAAUAGAAAGUGAUUGAAAUUGCAAUAGCCAUGGCAGCACGCAACAAAACAAAGAAGCAUCAUAAAUCUAUUUACAGAUCCAACAACAACAAACAUAAAAGAUCUGGACAAAUAGAAACACAAACCUAAAUGCAGCCAUCCAUACGGGAAACCUACUGCGGAGCAAAGGAAAUGACGCACCAAAUCAGCCAAAUCAGAGCAUAGAUCAAAACUGAAAUUGGAACCGGCAAAACCUAUAAAUCGGCCAGAUUCCGACAAGCAUAACAGAUUCCGACAAGCAUAACGGUAAAUAUCACUAUGUUUGACCAUUUAUUAUUUGGCUGCAUUUUUUAAUAAUGAUUUAAUAAAUUCCAGAAUAAUGCCUUCAAAUGGCCACUCAACAAUAAUGCUUACAAAUCAUGUAGAAGUUGUGGCUAGCUAAUUCUUAUGAACAUAUUCAUAUGCAUGAUUAUAUCAUUCAUAUCUAGUUCAUGUUGUGUAUUCACCGAAUAAAUAUAAACUAAACUAUUUUAUGGUAAUGAAAAAGUAUGGAUUUUAGGUUUUUGAAAGAAUUAAGUUCUAGGUAUUACAGUAUACCCUAGUCCAAAACUUUUUGAUUCCCUCUCUUAUGUUUAAUCUUUAAUUAGAUUUUCAAUUAAAUUUAUUUUGAUAGAUAAAUAAAAUAAAAAGAUGUAUUCACAUCUAAAUUUAUGGUUUCUCCGCUUAUCAUUUAUAUAUAAUAUAUAUUUAUUGAAAUAUUGGAGGAAAUUAAAUUUUAAAUUCUUCUCAAAGUACAAAAUCAGAUAAAAGAGUUUUGCUUUGAGACAUAAAAGGAACAAACAAAUUUUGUGAUCAGUUAAUUCUAAGCAAUGUCUUGCAAGUAUCAAAAACUCUUUCAAAAACAAGUUUUCACUCGUAACUAUCCUAAAAACUUAACAGAAGCAGUGCAUUGCUUCUACUUUUCCGGUGUUGCUCCCGAGGUGUAUUAAUUUUGUUUUAAUGACAAAAUAGUGUUCUAAAUUAUAAAAUACAAUGAAAUAGUUUUUCGGUGAUUGGUCAGCACUCGGGGACUUUUUUUGUCUGAAAUGGAUUUAGGGUGAGUUUACUUAGUGUACUUGGAGGAUGUUAUUAUAAGUUUUUUUUAGAUUAUGUCACUUGUGUAAAAGGGUAAUACUUUGAGGGAUAGAAGUGUAUUUAACCCUUAAAUUAAUUAAGAAAGAUAUCAAUCUUUGUAAAAUUUUAACUCUUGUAUAUAUGGUUCACGUUUACGUUUAAUCAUAUGAAAAUAUAAUUGAGAUUGAUUCAUAUGCAUAAAAACAUUAAAGAUAAUUUUUAGAGUAUAUAUAUGCCAUGUAAGGUGUUGGGUUCUUUGGUUCAAGAAGAAAGUGAUAAUGACUUUUUCUUGUGUUGAAAUUAGCUUUGCUAAGAACAAUCUUCUUUGUUCUUGUUCUGCUUCGUUUGAAAGAAGUUCUUUUUUAUUAAUAGUUAUGCAUUCUUUUUUAUUAAUAGUUAUGCACCACACUUUUAGUGUGAUGUAAAUUUAUUUAUAUGUAAUAUUCUCCGUUGUAAGUGAUAUAUAAAGAUAUAACACAAACUGAUUUAUCUUAAAUGGACAUUAUCUGAUGCAGGAGGAUCUUAGCCCAAUAAUGCUAAAUUGUCAGCUAGCACAUGAAUGACACUGAAAAACCAUAAGUUAAUGAUCAGCACAACGGUGUAGGUCUUUGUUACGGUGUGACUAAAGCAUUUAGGUGGUACCAAUUGUUGUUGCUUAAAUUCUCAAGCCAUCAGAUUUGAAAGUGACAGAAAAGCCCAAUAUAUACACACCUAAGUUGUUUAUUAAUUAGGUGAUAUGUACUACUAAAACUAACACAAUUUGUAAUAUCAAUAAUAAUAAUUAUACUAAUUAAUUGUCUAUCUUUAUACUACGGGCUAAAGAUGUUCAACUGUAAAACCAAUGAUCAUGCCAAACAAUAGUCUAUCUUUGCACUACAGGCCAAAGAUAUUCAUUAAUUGUAUCAUCAGUGGUCAUGAUCAUGUCAAACACCUGUCCAUCUUUAGACUAC